GACGAACGCUGGCGGCGUGCUUAACACAUGCAAGUCGAACGGAAAGGCCCUGCUUUUGUGGGGUGCUUGAGUGGCGAACGGGUGAGUAACACGUGAGUAACCUGCCCUUGACUUUGGGAUAACUUCAGGAAACUGGGGCUAAUACCGGAUAGGAGCUCCUGCUGCAUGGUGGGGGUUGGAAAGUUUCGGCGGUUGGGGAUGGACUCGCGGCUUAUCAGCUUGUUGGUGGGGUAGUGGCUUACCAAGGCUUUGACGGGUAGCCGGCCUGAGAGGGUGACCGGCCACCUUGGGACUGAGAUACGGCCCAGACUCCUACGUGAGGCAGCAGUGGGGAAUAUUGCACAAUGGGCGGAAGCCUGAUGCAGCAACGCCGCGUGCGGGAUGACGGCCUUCGGGUUGUAAACCGCUUUCGCCUGUGACGAAGCGUGAGUGACGGUAAUGGGUAAAGAAGCACCGGCUAACUACGUG
rnacentral:rRNA from 1 species